CAGCAAGUUCUGGCCAAGCGCUCACCAUUCUGCAGAAUAAGGAUCAGAACUUUACAGAGUUUAACUGUGUCUGUUGUUUUUACUAUUACAGUUCAUCGUGGCCCUGUCGUUCGCCUCCUUCACCAAAGCUCUGUCAGGGACCUACAUGAAGAGUGCCAUCACUCAGAGAGACACUUUGACCUGUCCAGCUCUCUCAUCGGACUCAUAGAGGACAGCUUUGAGAUGGGUAACCUGCUGUUCCUGGCUGUGGUCAGCCAUUUUGGGGCGAAGCUGCACCGGCCCAAGCUUAUUGAUGUGGUUAGGAUUUGGGCUAAAUCAACUGAUGCUGAUGUAAUUGUGUUUUCUGAAACCUGGCUCAGCAAGUCUGUUUUUGAUAAGGAUAUUUGUAUAAGUGGUUACAAUGUUUAUCGCACUGAUCGAGUUAAGGUGGGGGUGUGGCUAUAUAUGUAAAAACGAAUUUCCCUGUAAGUGUGGCAAAGUCUGAAACUAUUUGUAAACAGUUGGAAUUUCUUGCUUUGAAUAUUGAGGUUUCAAAGGGUCUUUCUAUAAAUGUGAUUGGCUGUUAUAGACCCCCUUCUGCUCUCGGUGAUGCAUUUUCUUCUUUGACGCACCUUAUGUCUAAACUUCUUCACAGUGAAAUGAUCUUGAUUGGUGAUCUCAACUGGUGUUGGUUAAAGCCGGUGUCUGAUGAUUUAAAAAUGUUUUGUAAUUCUAUGAAUCUUACCCAGUUGAUUAACUCACCCACUCGCCCAAAUCUUAAAUGCCCAGAUAAAUCUACCCUGAUUAUUUUAUAUUAACAAAUGUUCCACAUAAAUCAUUACAAAAAACACCAACCGCAGGAUAUUUAAGUGACCAUUGUUCUGUUGUUGCUGUUAGGAACCUUAGUAUUUCUAAGACAACCCAACGUUUUAUUCGUAAGAGAAAUUUGAAGUGUUUUAAUGAGCAGGCUUCCGUUCAUGAUUUGUUUUAUUUUGACUGGAGCAAGAUUGAGUUUAUCCCUGAUGUGGAAACUGCCUGGAUAUUCUUUCAUUAUGUUUUUUUCCAAAUAGUCAACAAACAUGCCCCAUUCCGCAGGUUCAUGGUUAAAGGGCGGGAUAAUCCAUGGUUUUCUUCUGAGUAUUAUUCACGACCGUAAUCUAGCCUGGGCUAAAGCAAGGAAAUCAUGUUCUGAUGCUUAUUUUUAGGCAGUUAAAACAAGUGUUCUUUUCUUCUCAGGAAGGCCAAGUCUGAAUAUUUUAUGUCUGUUACCACUGAUAACCUGAAUGACCCUAGAAAGUUUUGGAAGGCUAUUAAGUCUAUGUCUGGUAACAGUAAUGUUAAUGAAUUACCGUCAUGUGUUUUGAAGGACUCUGUUGCUGUAUAUGACAAAACUGAAAUGCUGAAUUGUUUCAAUGAGCACUUUGUAUCAUCUGGUAGGCUGUUUAAUUCAGUGUCCCCUGUCUCUGUACAACCCUGUGUGGAUGAAUCAGCGUCCUCUGUCUCUGUACAACCCUGUGUAGAUGAACCAGUGUCCUCUGUGUGUGGAUGAACCAGUGAGAGCUGGUCAAACGUUUAGCUUUUUG